AAGGCCUUAGUAAAACCAUUACAUAGCCCUGUCAGAGCUAAAUUACAGAGUUAAAAUCU
rnacentral:tRNA from 1 species